rnacentral:rRNA from 1 species
GACGAACGCUGGCGGCGUGCUUAACACAUGCAAGUCGAGCGGUAAGGCCCUUUCGGGGGUACACGAGCGGCGAACGAGUGAGUAACACGUGGGUGACCUGCCCUUAGCUCUGGGAUAAGCCUGGGAAACUGGGUCUAAUACUGGAUAUGACUCCAUGACGCAUGUUGUGGGGUGGAAAGCCUUGUGCGGCUAGGGAUGGGCCCGCGGCCUAUCAGCUUGUUGGUGGGGUGAUGGCCUACCAAGGCGACGACGGGUAGCCGGCCUGAGAGGGCGACCGGCCACACUGGGACUGAGACACGGCCCAGACUCCUACGGGAGGGCAGCAGUGGGGAAUCUUGCGCAAUGGGCGAAAGCCUGACGCAGCGACGCCGCGUGGGGAUGACGGCCU